CCUGGGUCCAGUAAGGUUUUUCAAAUUCGUAACGUCAGAAUGGGGAGGGCUUCUUAGAUCAGCAGAUUCCAGCCCCUCCCGUUGUCCCAAAUGGAUAAACUGAGGCCAGACUGCGGAAGGGAGGGUGGAACCUGUUGUUCAAGGACCCGACCCCAGACUGUCCUCCCUCUCACUCACUCCCACCCCUCUGUCGUUGGUACAGUUGGGGGGGGGGGGAGUCUAGGGUGUGAUCUCCGGAGGGGGUGGGCCCUCCACCCGGAGAGAUGUGGGGGCGGGCAGCAGAAGAACCAGACACCGCUGAUGAAUAAAUGAUGCCCACUAGCAGCCUGAGAUCAGAUCGCCAAGCCGAGCGCCUGCUGGCCCCGGGGGCAGUCCCCGGGCCAAGGCGGCCCAGCCCGCAUCCCUCUGCGCCCCCGACCUGCCGCCAAGCUGCGCUGGGAGCCCGAAGAUGGCGGGGCAGUGGCGAGGCACCGGGCGGCUCUGGGCGCUGGGCGGCGCCGUGCUGGAGGUUUGCUUCGCUGUGGUCGCCGGGCAGUUGGUGGAGCCCAGCACAGCACCACCCAAGCCCAAGCCACCCCCGCUGACCAAGGAGACGGUGGUGUUCUGGGACAUGCGCCUGUGGCACGUGGUGGGCAUCUUCUCGCUCUUCGUGUUGUCUAUCAUUAUCACUCUUUGCUGCAUCUUCAACUGCCGCGUGCCACGGACCCGGAAGGAGAUUGAGGCCCGGUACCUGCAGCGCAAAGCAGCCAAGAUGUACACAGACAAACUGGAGACUGUGCCACCUCUCAAUGAGCUCACAGAAAUCCCCGGAGAGGAUAAGAAAAAGAAGAAGAAGGACAGUGUGGAUACAGUGGCCAUUAAGGUGGAGGAGGAUGAGAAAAAGGAGGCCAAGAAGAAGAAAGGCGAGAAAUAGGAGAGCUUCCUGGAGGUGGCUCCAGACAUCUUAGACUCCAAGCUCACACGUGGACCAUAGAGGUUGCAGAUCAUCCUCCUCCAGCUCAGAGAGGGUUGCUGAAGCCCAGGACCCUGUCUUAGAGCCUAUCAGGGCAGGGACAAGACUACAUGAGGUGUUUUGCCUCCCGGCCUGGACUCCACUCCUUUCAUCCCGUCCACAUGAUCGCCCAGCAGUGGUGGUCUUGGGCCACUCUCCCUCUGUAGAUCCAAAGUGGCCUUCACCUACAUGCUUCUGUUCCCUCUUCUGCCAGGAACAGCAGUGACUAAAGGGGUAAUGGGAUGUGGCUUUUCUUCUGAAAGGGGAUGGCUGACCUUGAUGGGCCAUAGGUAAGGCCUCACCAGGCUGGUCACAAGAAGGGAUAGGGCCAAUGGGGGAAGCUAUGGCAGCAGGAGGUUCUCAGACUUGGCUGGAUAGCAGCUUUGGUGGGGAGGGACUGCCCCAAGCCUGGCAGGGCUUCUGGCACAAGGCAGGGCAGUGAGGGGGACCAGAAGCAGAACCCCUAGCCCAAUAGAUGCCAAGCUCCAGGCAAUAGAUGUACCAGUUUUACAUGUAGUGAUGCCGCUGAGGCUGCUGGGGGGCCUAGCAUGAGGCCUGAGGGCUGAAGGGGCAGUUCAAGGGUGUAGAAGGCUGAGGCCAGUGGGCCAGAAGGAAAAGGAAAACUGCCACUUGGGCCCAAUAUUGGGAAUCCAGGGAAUAUUUAAGAAGCCAAGGGGGGCCUCGGGCAGUUCUGGUAGCCCUUUCUAUACUCAGCCAUGAUGGCAGGUGUUAGGGCCCCAUGAGAUCACUUCAGGGAGCAGCUAGGGAUUGAGGCAGCAGCCUUCCACCUGCUGAAUAUGACAGCACACCACUUCCUCUUCUAUUCUCAACCAUGGUGCCUAAAAGAAGCACUGCUGAUCAGAAGAUGAAGACCCAAACUGGACAUGGGGACUGAAUCCUUGGACAGGGGAGAUACAGAGAAGGGUUUCUGGAUGGCAGCGAAAAUCAGCUGAAGUACUCAAACCUGGGCCUGGUACUCAAACACCAGAGGUUUCCAAGCUGCUAGCAAAGCUCAGGCUGCCUCUGCAGCCUGUGGAGAUCUGUAAAUAAAGCUGAGUGCCUUCUCAUA